AUAUAAAUGCUUUUGAAAUUCCCUACAGUCAGAAGAUUCCAGACAUGCCUUCAGAUGUAGUCGGAGCAUUAAUGUUUCUGGAGGACUAUGUGCGUUACACUAAACUGCCCAGAAAGGUGGCAGAGGCUCAUGUGCCGAGUUUCAUUUUCGAUGAAUUCAGGACUGUGCUGUAAACAUGCCUGUCAUAAUGUCAAAUCAUAUUCGAUAUCAUUCAUCUAUCUCUUAAAGCACUAAUGAAAUUGAGCAAUUAGCAUUUUUAACAUUUCAAUUUUUAAACAUGGUGAUCUUUUGUAGCUGACUGGAUGUCUGUCUGCUGGUGUAAUAAAUGUCAUAUGUGUGUUUUGAUACAA